rnacentral:rRNA from 1 species
AGCGAACGCUGGCGGCAGGCCUAACACAUGCAAGUCGAACGGAUCCUUCGGGAUUAGUGGCGGACGGGUGAGUAACACGUGGGAACGUGCCCUUUGGUUCGGAACAACUCAGGGAAACUUGAGCUAAUACCGGAUGUGCCCUUCGGGGGAAAGAUUUAUCGCCAUUGGAGCGGCCCGCGUCUGAUUAGCUAGUUGGUGAGGUAACGGCCCACCAAGGCGAUGAUCAGUAGCUGGUCUGAGAGGAUGAUCAGCCACACUGGGACUGAGACACGGCCCAGACUCCUACGGGAGGCAGCAGUGGGGAAUCUUGCGCAAUGGGCGAAAGCCUGACGCAGCCAUGCCGCGUGAAUGAUGGAGGUCUUAGGAUUGUAAAAUUCUUUCAGCGGGGACGAUAAUGACGGUACCCGCAGAAGAAGCUCCGGCUAACUUCGUG